UAUCGUCACGCAUCUGGAUUGGGCGAAAUAGUGUGUCAUGAGGAUGACUGCGUGUGUUUGAAGGUAAAACUUGAGCUUUCGAGUUGCAACAACUAUCGCCAAAGUUAAUUUUGAAUUUUUGGUAGUAUCGAGGAUGGCUUUUGAACUAUGGAAUACAAGUAAUCAGGCCCCCAACUAUUCUCGUAUGAUGAUAGAGCUUAUUGCUGCUUCAGAUACGAUUGCUCGUCCGUUCAGACCUUGAAUCUCCUUAAGAGUAGUAAGGGACUUCAUAAUCAAGAUUGCUCAGAUUUGCCUUGAAUAGGCAUUGCCGAAUUUCGUCCCAAAAUGCAUGCUUCUCUGCCAGAGCAAAAGAAUCUACCAGCGUUAGAUCUUCUUUCAUGAUCAAUUUUCUGAACAACGGGUGGUCUACUAGGAGUCCUUUCUGGAAGGCUGCUCUAGCUAUCGAGUUGUUGCAUUCGACUAUCUUUGCCUUCUCUGCUUUAAACCUCUUCACAUAGUCGUGAAGCGACUCCUUUGGGUUCUUCUUAACGUUGAACAAGUGAUUGGAUUCUUAAUCGAUCGAUAGGAUGAAUAUUCUUUGGUGAAAACCAAAGAAAGUUCGUCAAAACUCUGAAUAGAUUAUGGCGGCAGGGUGUAGAACC
rnacentral:lncRNA from 1 species